GGUCCCAUCGUCUAGCGGUUAGGACACCGGCCUCUCACGUCGGUAACACGGGUUCGAGUCCCGUUGGGACCACCA
rnacentral:tRNA from 1 species